rnacentral:sRNA from 4 species
AUAUCUCUCCGUACGGGAAGGAUGAGAAGCUUCGACUAAGGUUCGAUUCGAGCGCAGCGAGAACGCGUUGCCGCAGGCAACGACCCGAAGGGCGAAGCGCGCAGCGCUGAGUCAUCCUUCCCCC